UCCCUGGUAGCUCAGCGGUUAAAGCAUCUGCCUGCAAUGCUGGAGACCCAGGUUUGAUCCCUGGGUUGGGAA
rnacentral:tRNA from 1 species